rnacentral:misc_RNA from 1 species
CGCACAUUGCGCCCGCUAGUAUUCUGGCGGGCAUGCCUGUUCGAGCGUCAUUUCAACCCUCGACUCCCCUGGGACUCUUGUGCCCGGGGCGAGUCGGUGUUGGGGCUCAGGUGUCCUAGUUGACGCCUGUCCCCUAAAGAUAGUGGCGGUCUCGCUGCAGCCUCCUCUGCGUAGUAACUAACCUCGCAGCUCUGGAGAGCAGCGCGGCCACGCCGUAAAACCCCCUAUUUCUCAAGGUUGACCUCGGAUCAGGUAGGAAUACCCGCUGAACUUAA